AACGAACGCUGGCGGCAGGCCUAACACAUGCAAGUCGAACGUGAAGCCACCUUCGGGUGGUGGAAAGUGGCAGACGGGUGAGUAACGCGUGGGAAUCUACCCAAUGGUACGGAAUAACUCAGGGAAACUUGAGCUAAUACCGUAUGUGCCCGAAAGGGAAGGAAUUAUUCGCCACUCGGAGUGAGCCCGCCGUCUGAUUAGUCUAGUUGGUUGGGGUAAGUGGCCCACCAACGGACGACGAUCAGUAGCUGGUCUGAGAGGAUGAUCAGCCACACUGGGACGUGAGACACGG
rnacentral:rRNA from 1 species